GGUAUUUAUUGUCUGGGCUGUCUCCUCCAAUCAGGAAAGAGUUAGGCCCUAUCUGCUGCAGUAAGUACAGUCUGGCCCGCAUCACUUUGUUAACACGGCGGUUUGUUUCCUCAGGGCUAUAUGGUGAGAAGCCAUCUGGUGAAGGGGCUCUUCGGGGUGGUGUGAUUCUGCCACUCUGAAACUUCACAACAUUUUUUUUUAUUAGUCUUCGUGCUAGGAGGAAGAGAUGCCAACAGCCCCCCAAGUGUUCUAGUAUCCCAGCUGAAGCAAUAGGCAUGUGAGUGAAGAAGCAGUCUUGGACCUUUCAUCUUCAGAGAAUGUCACGAGGAACAGAGAUAAGCCACCCCUGCUGAGCCCUGCCCAAUCUGCAGAUUCGUG
rnacentral:lncRNA from 1 species